rnacentral:rRNA from 1 species
CGGGUCGGGUGAGUAACGCGUGGGUAACCUGCCUCAUACAGGGGGAUAACAGUUAGAAAUGGCUGCUAAUACCGCAUAAGCGCACAGGACCGCAUGGUCUGGUGUGAAAAACUCCGGUGGUAUGAGAUGGACCCGCGUCUGAUUAGCUAGUUGGAGGGGUAACGGCCCACCAAGGCGACGAUCAGUAGCCGGCCUGAGAGGGUGAACGGCCACAUUGGGACUGAGACACGGCCCAG